rnacentral:rRNA from 1 species
UCGAGAAUUUUUCACAAUGGGCGAAAGCCUGAUGGAGCGACGCCGCGUGGGGGAUGAAGGGCUUCGGCCCGUAAACCCCUGUCAUUUGCGAACAAACCUUUUCAUUGAACAGGUGAAAAGCUGAUUGUAGCGAAAGAGGAAGGGACGGCUAACUCUGUGCCAGCAGCCGCGGUAAUACAGAGGUCCCAAGCGUUGUUCGGAUUCACUGGGCGUAAAGGGUGCGUAGGUGGUGGGGUAAGUUUGAUGUGAAAUCUCCGAGCUUAACUCGGAAAUGGCAUUGAAUACUACUCUGCUAGAGGAUCGGAGGGGAGACUGGAAUUUUCGGUGUAGCAGUGAAAUGCGUGGAUAUCGAAAGGAACACCAGUGGCGAAAGCGAGUCUCUGGACGACUCCUGACACUGAGGCACGAAAGCUAGGGGAGCAAACAGG